rnacentral:rRNA from 1 species
CCUACGGGUGGCUGCAGUGAGGAAUUUUCCACAAUGGGCGAAAGCCUGAUGGAGCAAUGCCGCGUGCAGGAUGAAGGCCUUAGGGUUGUAAACUGCUUUUAUACGUGAAGAAUAUGACGGUAACGUAUGAAUAAGGAUCGGCUAACUCCGUGCCAGCAGCCGCGGUCAUACGGAGGAUCCAAGCGUUAUCCGGAUUUACUGGGCGUAAAGAGUUGCGUAGGUGGUAAUUCAAGUGAAUAGUGAAAUCUUGUGGCUCAACCAUAAGGCUAUUAUUCAAACUGAGUUACUCGAGAAUGAGAGAGGUCACUGGAAUUCCCUGUGUAGGAGUGAAAUCCGUAGAUAUAGGGAGGAACACCAAUGGCGUAGGCAGGUGACUGGCUCAUAUCUGACACUGAGGCACGAAAGCGUGGGGAGCGAACGGGCUUAGAUACCCCAGUAGUC